rnacentral:lncRNA from 1 species
GGUUAGAAGGCUGCCGCCGGGGCUGAGGAAACAUGAGUUUUCUGAGGUCUACCAUCAGACUCAUCCAACUUAGCAGGAACUGCAGGACCCUUUUCUGGAUCUGUGACAGGGACUUGGGUUUCUAUUGCUGUGAUAUGACCAAAAGCAACUUGGGAAGAGUUUGUCUCAUCUUGUUCUUCCACAUCACAGUCUGUCAAAGGAAGUUAAGGCAAGAACUUGGAGCUUGCUCCAUUUGCAAAAUACUCUCUUCAUACGAGGCAGCUUUGAAAUUUUCUUUGUCAAUAAAAUUAAAUCUCCUCACCUUAACUUCAGACUCACUCUUCAGACAAGGGCAAAAAACAGCCACAUUCAUCACCAAAAUAUCACAAGAAUGAUCUCUAGGCAAAAUACUAAGAUUCUUCUCCUCAGACAAUUCUUGAGCCAGGCCCCAAUAGUUCAAAUUACCCUUACCACCAAUGUCUUCCACAUUCACAUUGGAGUGGUCCAUUAAGCCCUGCUUAAAGCAUUUUACUGUUUUCCUAAUCCAAAAUAAAUCCAUAGUUCCU